rnacentral:rRNA from 1 species
GAUGAACGCUGGCGGCGUGCCUAAUACAUGCAAGUCGAGCGAAGCGGGGGCGGGUGAGUAACACGUGGAUAACCUCCUAAAAGAAUGGGAUAACUUCGGGAAACCGGAGCUAAACCGGAUAUUUAGAGAUGGAUCUGGGUUGCAUUAGCUGGUUGGUAAGGUAACGGCUUACCAAGGCAACGAUGCAUAGCCGACCUGAGAGGUUGAUCGGCCACACUGGAACUGAGACACGGUCCAGACUCCUACGGGAGGCAGCAGUAGGGAAUCUUCCGCAAUGGGCGAAAGCCUGACGGAGCAACGCCGCGUGAGUGAUGAAGGUUUUCGGAUCGUAAAACUCUGUUAUUAGGGAAGCGGUAUCUAACCAGAAAGCCACGGCUAACUACGUGCCAGCAGCCGCGGUAAUAC